rnacentral:rRNA from 1 species
UUCCGGUUGAUCCCGCCGGACCUGACUGCUAUCGGAUUGAUACUAAGCCAUGCGAGUCAUUGUAGUAAUACAAGGCAGACGGCUCAGUAACGCGUAGUCAACCUACCCUAUGGACGGGGAUAACCUCGGGAAACUGAGAAUAAUACCCGAUAGAACAUUAUUCCUGGAAUGGUUUAUGUUUCAAAUAAUUUAUUGCCGUAGGAUGGGACUGCGGCCUAUCAGUUUGUUGGUGAGGUAAUGGCCCACCAAGACUAUUACAGGUACGGGCUCUGAGAGGAGUAGCCCGGAGAUGGGUACUGAGACACGGACCCAGGCCCUAUGGGGCGCAGCAGGCGAGAAAACUUUGCAAUGUGCGAAAGCACGACAAGGUUAAUCCGAGUGGUUUCUGCUAAAGGAACCUUUUGUCAGUCCUAGAAACACUGGUGAAUAAGGGGUGAGCAAGUUCUGGUGUCAGCCGCCGCGGUAAAACCAGCACCUCAAGUGGUCAGGAUGAUUAUUGGGCCUAAAGCAUCCGUAGCCUGCUUUGUUAGUUUUCGGUUAAAUCCAUAUGCUCAACGUAUGGGCUGCCGGAAAUACUGCAAAGCUAGGGAGUGGGAGAGGUAGACGGUACUCGGUAGGAAGGGGUAAAAUCCUUUGAUCUAUUGAUGACCACCUGUGGCGAAGGCGGUCUACCAGAACACGUCCGACGGUGAGGAAUGAAAGCUGGGGGAGCAAACCGGAUUAGAUACCCGGGUAGUCCCAGCUGUAAACUAUGCAAACUCGGUGAUGCAUUGGCUUGAUGCCAAUGCAGUGCCGCAGGAAGCCGUUAAGUUUGCCGCCUGGGAAGUACGUACGCAAGUAUGAAACUUAAAGGAAUUGGCGGGGGAGCACACAAGGGGUGAAGCCUGCGGUUCAAUUGGAUUCAACGCCGGGA